GAAGGGGCUAUAGCUCAAUGGUAGAGCAUAUGCUUUCCAUGUGGCAGGUCUAGGUUCAAUCCCUGACGUCUUCA